CAGGAAGUGUAUUGUUCCAUGUUGUGUGGACUUGGGGAAGUGUAUAAUGUAAUGUUCCAUGUUGUGUGGACCCCAGGAAGUGUAUAAUGUAAUGUUCCAUGUUUGUGGACCCCAGGAAGUGUAUAAUGUAAUGUUCCAUGUUGUGUGGACCCCAGGAAGUGUAUUGUUCCAUGUUGUGUGGUCCCCAGGAAGUGUAUUAUGUAUUGUUCCAUGUUGUGUGGACCCCAGGAAGUGUAUAAUGUAAUGUUUCAUGUUGUGUGGACUCCAGGAAGUGUAGCUGCUGAUUUUACAACAGCUAAUGGGGGAUCCUACCAAAAUACCAAAUACCUCUUCACCCUCCCUCUCCCUCCCACCAUCCCUCUCUCUCACUCUUUCUACCCUCCCUCUCUUUCCCCUCCAUCUCUCUUCUCUCCCUCCCUCUCCAGCCAUAGAUGGUGUUCCCUUCACUCUACACCCCAAGUUCAAGACCCAAACGAACGGCAUGACUCCAACAAACACUCUGAACAACAUUCGCAUCAAGUCUGUCCAGGACAUU